rnacentral:rRNA from 1 species
GACAGAGGAUGCAAGCGUUAUCCGGAAUGAUUGGGCGUAAAGCGUCUGUAGGUGGCUUUUUAAGUCCGCCGUCAAAUCCCAGGGCUCAACCCUGGACAGGCGGUGGAAACUACCAAGCUGGAGUACGGUAGGGGCAGAGGGAAUUUCCGGUGGAGCGGUGAAAUGCGUAGAGAUCGGAAAGAACACCAACGGCGAAAGCACUCUGGGCCGGUACUGACGCUGAGGAGCGAAAGCGUGGGGAGCAAACAGG